rnacentral:lncRNA from 1 species
AUUAAUCGGUGUACAGUCAGUUUAAAGCAACAACACCAUAUUCUGAGAAAGAACUUGCUUAUCCACUGCAAACAAUCCCUAAAUGACUGCACUUGGCUUCUGCUCUUCAAUAAUCCUGGACUUGAUGCCCUUCAGUCCACGUUAACAAGGUUGAUUCGGGAGGGACAAAAUGGCGCCGUAGGGAGAACACUGUGUUUCAGCAAACUACUGUGGCGUUCUUUAAUUUCUCUUUUUAUAUAAAUUUUCUAGCUUGAAAAAGUGGUAGAAUUUGCUAAAUAAGCUAUCCUACAAUGAGUAUUUCUCUAGAAUUUCCGACAGCAUGCCCAGCAGAACUACUAAGAACUCGACCAAAACCACCACCUCUGUAGAUGUGCAGGAGGAGCUAGCUAACGUUAGCGAAGCUAACACCAUUGCGGAUCCAGGCACAAUGGACCUGGUGAUUCAAAGGAUGACGGAUAACAUUACUAAAGUGAUCGAUGUUAAGAUAGUAAUGGUCUUAGAAGCAAUAGCAGGCCAUUCAGAAGAACUACAGAGGGUUGUCAAGCGUGUGGAUAAAGCAGAAAGAAGAAUUGCUACUGUGGAAACUUCAACUACAUCAAUGGACACUAAGAUAAAGGCACUUGAGAAACAGGUGCAUGAAAUGGCGGAGCACAUUGACGACAUGGAUAAUCGAGGACGCAGAUGCAAUAUCCGUGUUGUGGGACUCCCAGAAAAUUCUGAAGGGACACGUUCAGUAAACAUUUUUGAGGAAUGGAUCCCUGGCUACCUACAAAUGGACACUAAAGCUGGUCAUGUGAAGCUGGAUAGAACCCAUCGCUCUCAAGCACUGAUACCCGGUCCCAACCAGCGCCCACGACCAGUGGUUAUAAAGUUCCACAACUUCACUGAUAAGCAGCGCGUCAUGGAUGCGGCCAGACGCAUCGGUUCUUUACGGUAGUCAACGUCAAGGUCCAUGGGUCUCAUUCUUCAAUGAUUAUUCCACAGCAGUUGUACGAAGACGCAAGGCGUUCGAUGAGGUGAACCUCAUCGAACGCCUUAUUCUCUUUAUUCAAGAGAAUAAAGAUGGACUACUACGCGCUGCUGUACCCCUCCAUAUUGAAGAUUAUGGUCAACGGAUCGCCUAAAAAAACUCUACACACCUGAAGAGGCUGCUGCGUUUAUUGACUCUCUCGGAAUGGAAACCAUGCAGAGAAGCCUUGAGUGGGCUAGGCUGAUAAAUGUUGCUUCAGCAGAUGAUCUAAUUGAUCAAGUAUCUCAGUUCAUUCAGGAGAUUCAUACCUCUGGCUGACAUCAAGGUAAGCAGCAUUGUAGUGGGUGUGGUUGGGCUUACUGUUGAGCAAUCAAACAGUAUUGUAUGAUAGGCCGCUGAUUUUUUUUCACUCUUCGUUCUCCUGCUGCCCAUUGUAUUUGUUCUUGGUUAACAUUUCUAUUCAUGUCUUGGAUUUAAAAUCCAAUGUUAAAAAAAGAUUACCGGGCCACAAUGUGUGACAGUUAC